rnacentral:rRNA from 1 species
GACGAACGCUGGCGGCGUGCUUAACACAUGCAAGUCGAACGGAAAGGCCCUGCUUUUGUGGGUUGCUCGAGUGGCGAACGUGUGUGUAACACGUGAGUAACCUGCCCUUGACUUUGGUAUAACUUCAGGAAACUGGGGCUAAUCCCGGAUAGGAGCUCCUGCUGCAUGUUGGGGGUUGGAAAGUUUCGGCGGUUGGGGAUGGACUCGCGGCUUAUCAGCUUGUUGGUGGGGUAGUGGCUUACCAAGGCUUUGACGGGUAGCCGGCCUGAGAGGGUGACCGGCCACAUUGGGACUGAGAGACGGCCCAGACUCCUACGGGAGGCAGAAGUGGGGAAUAUUGCACAAUGGGCGGAAGACUGAUGCAGCAACGCCGCGUGCGGGAUGACGGCCUUCGGGUUGUAAAACGCUUUAGCCAGUGACGAAGCGUGAGUGACGGUAAUGGGUAAAGAAGCACCGGCUAACUACGUG